AUGAAAGGGGAUGUUGAUGGUGAUAGCGCGGAGGGAAGGAAGGUUUGGCGAUGUGAAGAAGAGGACAGCUUCUUCGAAGAUCUGCGGAGGAACGGGAAUUUACCAGAGCUUAUGUUUAGAGAGUUGAAUGAGUUGAACGGAAGAAGUUUCACCGGAAAAUUCAGUGUGGUGGGUAUGCGGUGGAUGGAAGGUAAGGUUUGUACAUUAGGUGGGGGGAUUGAAGGAGAAGUUGAAGUGUGGUGA